UCGACGCUACGUCGUGAUCCCCUCCACCGGCCUGGAUGGCACCCGACAUCUCCACCCCCACGACCAGCAGGCCAGGCGUGGAUCUCGCCCCGACGCCCGACGAUGGCGCCCAUGCUCCGCCCCCAUACCCAGCGGGCAGCCACGGAUCUCGCGGAUCACGCCGGAUCUGCCGCUUCCAAUCUCUGCAUCGCGUGGACGCCUUCCAUGGAGUCUCUGUACGUAUGCCAGCGCCCGUCCCUCACCCCUGAUCUACCACUCCCAAUAUCUCCACCCCCACCGCGACGACAACGCGCAACCCCCGGCCACCGCGCUGCCAGCGCCCGUCCCUCACCCCGCACGCUGUGACCGGACUACCGCGCCUGGCCCCCACUCCAAUGAGAUUGCCGCCCCUCCCGCCCCGCUAGCCAUGCCACCAUAGAUCCAGCUAGGGCGGCGUCAUUGUGUUCAACCUUGUGCGAGAGAAUGCAAAAUCGUCGUCGGACUGAUAUUGACCAGAGGUUUCUCCGCCCAAUUGCAUCAGGUUUCGCUGCCAUUUGCAGCGACUGUGCUCCAGUUCGAUCGUUUGGGGGAAAAGGGAUUGUAUCUGUUGAAUCCUCGGGCUCCAGGGAUGGUUCUCGACAUGGACGGCUACGUAGACCCCUAUGAGGAGCUCAUGCCGAGGAAGACUCCGACAACCCUGACGAGGAUGACUUAGAUGCAGAGAGCAACUACAAGGAUAAGUCGUUCGACCUCCUCAAGUCCGACAAGCACUGGGUGCGCAACCCGGAUGACACCUUCUGUGGCCCCUUCUGCCCCUGCAAGAAGAGCAGGGGUACAAGAGCAAGGACCUCCUCCAGCACGCUCCGACGACAUCGAUGUCUCCAACAAGCAUCGACAUCACGGCUGCAAAUGUGGAGGUUAUGUAAUAUCACCAGUCGAUCAAUGAGGACAAUCAGUUUUAAAGCACAUGUUUGCCAAGGCCUCUCCAUUGUAUGUAUCUCAACUCUAUUGUGCGCAGGCGAGCAAUGGAAUAAAAAAGCCUUACUAUGUAUCUCACCUCUAUUGCUCUGCUUAGCCAAGGCCUCUCCGCUAUAUGUGCCUGGUAUCCCUACCAUUUUUGCCACUUCUACUUGGAGUAAUACUAAUAAAGUCACAUAUUUGAAGCCUACCAGUAUUAUCAUAACAUGGUUGUCUACUUGUGUAUUACAACCACAAUAAUUAACCAUAUGGGUCGAUAAUGAGAUAUUCUUUUUUGAAACGAUAUAAUGAGAUAUUCUUAUCAGGGACUCUUGGAGUCAGGCAUUUGCCAUACUAAGAGUUUCGAAUUUGCCAAAAAGGUUUAAUUUGGUACAGAUAACCCCAUUGCUCCCGUUGAGUUAAUGACAUAGAAACUAAAAUUAGUUUGAAAAUCAUGUACUACCAACACAAAAGAAAUGAGAAAAAAUAAAAAAAGAAGUGAACAAUUGGGUUAUCUGUCAAACUCAGAAGUUUUUUUUAUCAAACAACACAAAUUGAGUGUUCCAUAAAAAAUGUUUUCUCUGGUUUCAACUAUCCACUUAUCCAGCUUGUAUUGAGUGUGCUUGCAACUCGAAUUCCUUUCGAUUCAGUUCCUGCGCGCCUGGCCACCGGGAACUUUAGUUGUUCAUAUGAUCCAAUUCAAGUAUUUGUAGUUAUAUUGGUUAUGUUGAUCGCAUAGUGCUGAGGCUAUUUACGAUCGUUUAGUGUGUUGAAGCUCUUAAAUUUACGGUUCGGUGUAGAAUCUCAAUUAAAUCGUUUUCUGUAAUGUUCUGCUUGGAAUAUCAAAAGCUCAUUUUUUCUAUGUUGUGAAUUAGGGUUUGCUUUGAAAGGUUUGAGUGGAUCUUUGUUGAUGGUGGUUGUGGUUUCUUGGUUGGAUGGAAUGUUACCCAGUUCAAGUGUUUUGCAUCGUAAUUUGGUUUUAUUGCCUUAAGAUUCUUCUAGUGUUUCCCUAUUUGGUCAGUACACGGAUGUGUUACUCAUUUUUUCCCAUCAUCGCAAAAUAGAUGUUUGUCUUUCACUAUGAUUGCUUACCUUCCUAAAGUUAUCUAAUAAUUUUUCCUUGUGCUAUUAGCAUUUAAAAUUGCAUUUCAUUGUGCUUAAGGAAAGGUUUGCAUUUGGAAGAAUGGGAUUUGAUUGGUGAUUUGUGGAUCGUAUGACUGGUGAUUGGAGAAGCUAGAGUGCAACGACAAGGAGACAACGGAGAAUAAGUAUUUCACCCCAAUCAAAGGUGAAGACUAGCAUUCUCAUGAAACACUGAUAGACACACAGGUUUUCUUGCCACGGCAGAUCAUAUGGAUCAAACUCCAAAAAUUCAUGGUGGAGACUCCGAUGAUGAACAUGAUUGCUGGUGGAGCAGCUAUAAGGCCUUUUGUUAAUGACAAGCUAUUUUAUUUAGUUUCUGGAGUGUUAAAUCAUGGUUACCGGCAAGGUCUAUUAUUCUGGAGUGUUUUUUUAUCAAGAGGAAAUAUUGAUCCAAGUGGAGAAAUCAUGGUUUUGCAUAGAUUCUGCCCGGUAAAGUCUUGACCUUGUUGUGUUAUAUCAGACCGAAUCUCACCAAUAUCCACACCAGAUCUAAAUGGGACAUUUGAAAAUUGUCGUGCCCCCUAAAAAAAAGGAAAAUCCAUGGUCUGUGCUUCAGUGGAAACUUCAUCUAUUUGAGCUUGAAGAGGUGCUAACGACUGACCCUCUGACCAAGUAUGUGUUUUAUCAGGACGAGAGCAAGAGUUGGCGAGUCCAAGCAGUCGUAGUUGCUCCUGAUAGGUUCAAUAGCUGGAAGGCUCUGCUAGAAAAGUGGAGGGGCAUGAGAGACGAAAGACUUUUAGCAAAAACUGACUUCUAGCAUUUUGUGUUUGUUCAUAUCAGUGGCUUCACUUUGGGCAACAAGACCUAUCAGGGAGCAUUGGAAAUGGCAAGAGCUGCUCUGAAAUUCUGAUUCAACCACCACCUAUAAGUAACAGACUUACCCAUGUUGCCAUAGUCUCAAUAGAAGCACAUGAUGCAAUUGCGACUUUGGUCCAUGGUAUCAUUGACUUGUCGUAGCUGAAAUUGAUUCUUACAUUUGAUUUAUAUCAUCCUUAUCUUGCAGAAUUGGUCAUUUGAUACUAUUUUCUUGGAUCUGUUAAUGCAUAGAAUGUGAUAAUUUAGUAUUAGAAAAGAAAAUUGAUGGAACUUAUUAGGCCAUCAGCCCUGCAUAUUUCUUUAGCACAUGACACCCUUUCCCCCUAACGCAUGUGGUGCAGGUCAAGCUGGACUUCCCGCACGAGGCUCGUGCUGACGUGGGUGUACAACUAGCUAUAAAAGAGAGUUAAAUUUCUUUUCAACAUAACCUUUUUCGGUCUUUUGGCUAAAAUCAAGUGUAUUACCUUUUUUUAUUAGUUUAAUAUCCAACGUGAACAAUGUGUCCACUUUGAUAUUAUUUUUUUGUGGAAGGGAACACCAUAGAUGCGCGCUACUGGACCCACAUGUAUCACCUAACCGUUGCGCUGCUGGUAGGAUCUGACCGCUACCCUAACACAUUACAAGCUUCAGUUUACAAUCUUUAAUUCAGCUUACAAGCUUCAAUUUAGAUUCAGGUUACAAUCUCUAAUGUACAAUCUUCGGUUUACAAGCUUCACUUUACAAUCUUUAAAAUAGUCAUUAUGCACAACACCAUUUUUUUCACAUACUAAUCCUACAGUACAAAGGUGCUUCCCUGAAUCUUUGCAAUAAAUUGUCCAUACUUCAAAAUUUAGAUGUACGAAUAUUACUUGCCAUGUGCUAUCUCAAAUUAGAGGUCGAUAGCAUUUUUGCAGGCCAUUUCAGUAUGACAGGAUACACAUUGAUGUGAGGGGAUCACCUGCUCCCUCCGUUUCACAUAGCAUUUUUUAGCUGUUGCCACUGUGUAUGUUACAGUCGAAGGCCAUCUCUGUAUGACAAGUCGUCAUAUGAAUUAUUGCUUUAAACUAAAACAACAUGCAUAGAUUGAAUUAUGCUUUGCAUUCUACUAUGUAAAGAUUUAAUUGCUGCGAAAAUUUUUAUUGUUACAAGUAUUCUUCCUUAAGCUGCUAUUUUAUUGUAUAAAAUGGACUAUUUUGUGCUAAUUUUUAGAUUGAUUUAGCUUUUUUGUAUUUAAGUACUUUGUACAUCUUCAUGUUGAACUAAUGCUUGAACUGCAUUUGAUAAUAGUACUCAGAAUUGAUCUAUUUCUUCCAGUGACUCAAGGAUGUGGAUGUCUUACUAGAUGUUACUUGUUCUUAUGAAUGCGACCUUUCAUUUGACUUAGUUUGUAAUUCUAUUCGUAGGUUAUGCAUGUUGCUUUUGGAGUGCUGUUACAUGCCAGAAAGCAGGCAGAGGUUUGCCACUGUCAUGUGCCUAAUACUCAUAUAUGGCCUUGUGUCUAAAGAGAACUCAUCAUUUUCUACAAAAUUGCUAUUUGGUUUUAGUUACAUUGAUAAGUUUUGUGUGCAUUAACAUGUGUAUAUUUUUCUUGAUGACAUCUGACAUUUUCACGCGGUGCUUAAUAAAUAAGUCAUUGAAGGGUAUUCUUAUCUAGGAUGUUUGUUCUGUUGUCAAAAAACUUAACUUUUAUGUGUGAAAAUGUAUAUUUCAAAUUUUUCAUAGACAUCCACAUGUGAUUAGCACCAAGUAAUGUUUUCUUAUUAAUGAUAUUUCUGUCCUGUUUACAUGCACCGUCACCAGUUUAUUUGGUGAAAUGUUUGAAGAUAUAAUCUUUCAAUUUAAACGAUAUAUGGAUGUCUAUCAGUUGUUUAAGGAGAUCACACAGCUUUUGACAUUGGAGAACUUUAGGAAAAAUCAGCAGCUUUCUAAGUAUGGUGUGCAAGAGCAAUAAUGCUUGUUGAGCCGAAGAAGCUGAUUGAAGCUAAUCCCUUGUUGCGUGACAAGCUACAAUUUCCCAACUAUGAAGAAUUAUAGGUGGGUUUGGAUUGUUGAAAUGAACUACUAUAGGGAUAUUGACAUGAAACAAAUAGCAAGUGACCGAUGCAAGAUAUUUACGUACUCUCAAUUGUGUAUUUAGGUAUUAAAAAGUAGUUAUCUUAAAUAUUUGUGAACUCAA